rnacentral:rRNA from 1 species
GUGGGGAAUAUUGGGCAAUGGGGGCAACCCUGACCCAGCAACGCCGCGUGGAGGAAGAAGGCUUUCGGGUUGUAAACUCCUUUGACGAGGGACGAUGAUGACGGUACCUCGAAAACAAGCCACGGCUAACUACGUGCCAGCAGCCGCGGUAAUACGUAGGUGGCAAGCGUUGUCCGGAUUUACUGGGUGUAAAGGGCGCGUAGGCGGGCAGGCAAGUCAGAUGUGAAAUCUCCGGGCUCAACCCGGAAAUUGCAUUUGAAACUGCAGGUCUUGAGUAUCGGAGAGGCAAGCGGAAUUCCUAGUGUAGCGGUGAAAUGCGUAGAUAUUAGGAGGAACACCAGUGGCGAAGGCGGCUUGCUGGACGACAACUGACGCUGAGGCGCGAAAGCGUGGGGAGCAAACAGG